rnacentral:tRNA from 1 species
UCGGUUUAGUUUAAUAAAGACGUCGGGGUGUGGUUCCGAAGAUAGCAAUAUUAGUGUUAACUGGUUU